UAGAGUUUGAUUAUGGCUCAGGACCAUCGCUAGCUACAGGCUUAACACAUGCAAGUCGAGGGGCAGCAUUUUAGUUUGCUUGCAAACUAAAGAUGGCGACCGGCGCACGGGUGAGUAACACGUAUCCAACCUGCCUCAUACUCGGGGAUAGCCUUUCGAAAGAAAGAUUAAUACCCGAUGGCAUAGCCCUUUCGCAUGAUUGGGUUAUUAAAGAAUUUCGGUAUGAGAUGGGGAUGCGUUCCAUUAGUUAGUUGGCGGGGUAACGGCCCACCAAGACAACGAUGGAUAGGGGUUCUGAGAGGAAGGUCCCCCACAUUGGAACUGAGACACGGUCCAAACUCCUACGGGAGGCAGCAGUGAGGAAUAUUGGUCAAUGGACGAGAGUCUGAACCAGCCAAGUAGCGUGAAGGAUGACUGCCCUAUGGGUUGUAAACUUCUUUUAUAUGGGAAUAAAGUUUUCCACGUGUGGAAUUUUGUAUGUACCAUAUGAAUAAGGGUCGGCUAACUCCGUGCCAGCAGCCGCGGUAAUACGGAGGAUCCGAGCGUUAUCCGGAUUUAUUGGGUUUAAAGGGAGCGUACGUGGAUUGUUAAGUCAGUUGUGAAAGUUUGCGGCUCAACCGUAAAAUUGCAGUUGAAACUGGCAGUCUUGAAUACAGUAGAGGUGGGCGGAAUUCGUGGUGUAACGGUGAAAUGCUUAAAUAUCAGAAAAAACUCGAAUGCCAAAGCAACUCACGGGACUGCUACUGACAUUUGACGCCCAAACUGUGGCGCACCAAACCUGAAUUUAUACCCUCACACUCUCACCCUAAAUCAAAAAAACGCAACUGUUUCGAAUUAAACACAAGCA
rnacentral:rRNA from 1 species